rnacentral:rRNA from 1 species
UACGUAGGGUGCAAGCGUUGCCCGGAUUUAUUGGGCGUAAAGGGCGCGUAGGCGGCUCGGCACGUCCGUUUGUGAAAUCGCCCGGCUCAACUGGGCGGGGUCGGCGGAUACGGCCGAGCUGGAGCAAGCUAGGGGGUAAUGGAAUUCCCGGUGUAGUGGUGGAAUGCGUAGAUAUCGGGAGGAACACCAGUGGCGAAGGCGG